rnacentral:rRNA from 1 species
GACGAACGCUGGCGGCGUGCUUAACACAUGCAAGUCGAACGGAAAGGCCCUGCUUUUGUUGGGUGCUCGAGUGGCGAACGGGUGAGUAACACGGGAGUGACCUGCCCUUGACGUUGGGAUAACGUCAGGAAACUGGGGCUAAUACCUGAUAGGAACUCCUGCUGCAUGGUGGGGGUUGGAAAGUUUCGGUGGUUGGGGAUGGACUCGCGGCUUAUCAGCUUGUUGGUGGGGUAGUGGCUUACCAAGGCUUUGACGGGUAGCCGGCCUGAGAGGGUGACCGGCGACAUUGGGACUGAGAUACGGCCCAGAGGGCUAUGGGAGGCAGCGGUGGGGAAUAUGGCACAAUGGGCGGAAGCGUGAUGCAGAAACGCCGCGUGCGGGAUGACGGCCUGCGGGGUGUAAAACGCUUUCGCCUGUGACGAAGCGUGAGUGACGGUAAUGGGUAAAGAAGCACCGGCUAACUACGUG